rnacentral:tRNA from 1 species
GCCCCUAGAGGAUAACAGUUCCAUCCGUUGGUCUUAGGAACCAAAAACUCUUGGUGCAAAUCCAAGUAGAGGCU